rnacentral:rRNA from 1 species
UACGAAGGGGGCUAGCGUUGCUCGGAAUUACUGGGCGUAAAGCGCACGUAGGCGGCUUUGUAAGUUAGAGGUGAAAGCCCGGAGCUCAACUCCGGAACUGCCUUUAAGACUGCAUCGCUUGAAUCAUGGAGAGGUCAGUGGAAUUCCGAGUGUAGAGGUGAAAUUCGAUAGAUAUUCGGAAGAACACCAGUGGCGAAGGCGACUGACUGGACAUGUAUUGA